rnacentral:rRNA from 1 species
UACGUAGGGUGCGAGCGUUAAUCGGAAUUACUGGGCGUAAAGCGUGCGCAGGCGGUUUUGUAAGCCAGAUGUGAAAGCCCCGGGCUUAACCUGGGAAUGGCAUUUGGGACUGCAAGGCUUGAGUGCGGCAGAGGAGACUGGAAUUCCUGGUGUAGCAGUGAAAUGCGUAGAUAUCAGGAGGAAUACCGAUGGCGAAGGCAGGUCUCUGGGCUGACACUGACGCUCACGCAGCGAAAGCGUGGGGAGCAAACAGG